rnacentral:rRNA from 1 species
UCCUACGGGAGGCAGCAGUGGGGAAUAUUGCGCAAUGGGGGAAACCCUGACGCAGCGAUACCGCGUGGGUGAAGAAGGCCUUCGGGUUGUAAAGCCCUUUUGGUGGGGACGAUAAUGACGGUACCCACAGAAUAAGCUCCGGCCAACUCCGUGCCAGCAGCCGCGGUAAUACGGAGGGGGCAAGCGUUGUUCGGAAUCACUGGGCGUAAAGGGCGCGUAGGCGGUUGAUCAAGUCAGAAGUGAAAGGCACGGGCUCAACCUGUGGACUGCUUUUGAAACUGGUCGACUGGAGACCGGCAGAGGGUGACGGAAUUCCCCGUGUAGAGGUGAAAUUCGUAGAUAUGGGGAGGAACACCAGAGGCGAAGGCGGUUGCCUGGACCGGGUCUGACGCUGAGGCGCGAAAGCGUGGGGAGCAAACAGGAUUAGAUACCCUGGUAGUCCACGCCGUAAACGAUGAGUGCUGGUUGUCGCGGGUAUCGACCCCUGCGGCAACGAAGUUAACACGUUAAGCACUCCGCCUGGGGAGUACGGCCGCCAGGUUAAACUCAAGGAAUUGACG